GAUGAACGCUGGCGGCGUGCCUAAUACAUGCAAGUCGAGCGAACGGACGAGAAGCUUGCUUCUCUGAUGUUAGCGGCGGACGGGUGAGUAACACGUGGAUAACCUACCUAUAAGACUGGGAUAACUUCGGGAAACCGUAGCUAAUACCGGAUAAUAUUUUGAACCGCAUGGUUCAAAAGUGAAAGACGGUCUUGCUGUCCCUUAUAGAUGGAUCCGCGCUGCAUUAGCUAGUUGGUAAGGUAACGGCUUACCAAGGCAACGAUGCAUAGCCGACCUGAGAGGGUGAUCGGCCACACUGGAACUGAGACACGGUCCAGACUCCUACGGGAGGCAGCAGUAGGGAAUCUUCCGCAAGGGGCGAAAGCCUGACGGGGCAACGCCGCGUGAGUGAUGAAGGUCUUCGGAUCGUAAAACUCUGUUAUUAGGGAAGAACAUAUGUGUAAGUAACUGUGCACAUCUUGACGGUACCUAAUCAGAAAGCCACGGCUAACUACGUG
rnacentral:rRNA from 1 species